UGCCCCCUUCUGCAUCUUGGCAUGGAUCACCUCGAGACAACUGAAAACCCCCUUUGCAGUAGCCUCACUGCUCUGACCUCCGCUCUCCUACAGCAGCUCUAAGUGUGGGAGCCAAGAAAACAGCAUUAACUGAACAACCUCAAGACAGCAGAAGUUGCCAGGUUGAGAAACCCUCUGAUGCUGGGAAAUAAAGCAAGCGUCUCUCCACACUUCAAGGCUGUGACCUGUGCUGGCUUUCAACCAUGGAAACCCACACAGCCCUGUGGCUGAGGGAGGACCAUGGCUGCCUGCUACCAGAGAGCAUGAUAACUCCAGCAUUGCGUUGCCCUCUGAAUACCCUAUUGCCUGGGACCUCAGCAGCCCGCUGAACCACAUUUAGGCCUGAUGCAAGCAGACACACAUCCUUCCGAGCAGAUUUUGUGCAAUUUUCGAGGAAUCCUUCAAGGACUCAUCAGCUCAAGUAAUUCUCUCUGCCCCAACACUAUGGGGAAGGGAAGCGAUUAUGGGAAAGCUCAUGUUCCUCCAGCAGCUGCAGUCGCAUUGGGUGGGAUUCAUCUGACUAAACAUAGAUGUCUCCAUCUGAGCUAGUCACGCUAGGCUUCCUUUAUGGAGGAGAAUAUGGGGAAAUAUAGGCACAGCUAUGAGUCAUCCCCUCCCCAGGUCAGUGUCUAAACCAGGUCAGGCAAAUCUUGCCCAUUUCUCUUCUUUUCUUGUAAAAGGAGGUGCAAUGAAUAGGUCUGUAAAGUUAUGUGGUGCCCAUCCUCUAUCUGGUGUCCAAACCAGAUGAUUUGAGCUGGGGCAGAAGGGCCAAGCUGUGGUGAGGGCAUUGCCAGAAAAUGCUGAGUAACCACAGCCCAGUGGGGUAAAUUGGCUCAGAUGGAGCUCAUUUCACUGUGGGAUAGGAGGCAAGGAGUGCAAUGCGGGAGAGGAAAUGGCCUAAGAAGAAUGCCCAUAAAAGUCACUGUGGGAUGUCACCCUAGUGCCAAGACUAUGUUUGUUUUGAAUCAGAGCAGGUAGCUCUGCUUUUCUGUUUGCCGGCUAGAGUUACUGCCUUCCUGACACCACUGCAAUUCACUACGUGACCAGUUACUUCCCCACUCCUGGCCUCUCCUUGCUUUCCACCUCUCCAGACUGCAAUACAGUGGUCCCAUCUUCACAUCCCUGCGGAGCAGCAGGGUGCUGCUGAGUGCUCACACCCCCAGGCAGGCCUGGAUCAAAGGAUGUUCACCACUGAUAGUGGAGCUCCAGUCCAGUGCACUUCCAAGUGCCACAGACACUUGGGCAUCUUCCAGCAGGAUGUUGGCUGUCUGCACCCUGUGCUGUGGCUCCUUGAUGCCCAGCUCUGCCUAUGUCCUCUCCCCAGCUGCCUGGCCUAGAGCUGAACUGGGUGUUGAAACAGAGGAGCGUUUCCCAUGCUAUGUGUACGUCAGGGAUGCGUGGGGAAAGGAAGUGCAGCAAUUGCCAGAAGCAGCAGUGAAGUUACUGUAUGGUGUUAUCAUCUGAUGAGAAAAGUAAUGAAGCAAAAAUGCCUUGAGCGUGCCGUGAGCCAGCUCCUCUGUCAAGGGAUUACUGCUGAGGACCCUCAAGACCUUAUGUGCACCCAUGACUGUAACCCAUGAGUAAGAGCGUAAAGCAUGCACGCAAGGUAAAUAAAUGGUUAGAGAGA